rnacentral:tRNA from 1 species
GGCGAGAUGGCCGAGUGGUCUAAGGCGCUGGUUUUAGGCACCAGUCUCUUCGGAGGGGUACGUUCGCAUCCUACUUUCGUCA